rnacentral:lncRNA from 1 species
AUGGGUUUUCGGCAACGCUGGUGUGCAAACAGCACUGGGGGGGCCCUGGGCGGAGAGCGCCCACAUCUCCGGCUCUGCAGUCUCCUGUCUUUGCUUUGGACUGGCAGCUCCCGUGACGCCUGCAACCCUGGAAAACAGGGUCCUGCUCCCUGCCAGGAAAUCUCCCAGGCGGGUGCAGAUCUGCAGGCAGAGGGUGGCUCCCUCUCUCCAGCGGUGCUGCGGGUACUUGCCCUGUCUCGCUGCGCUAAAAUAGAGGCCGGCAGCGUGAGCCCUUUGCUCCCUGGUGUAAAUCAUUACCGAUCUGUGACCUUCGCUUCAGCCCCUGGCCCGGGAAGGGCAGAGAGGCGAGGGGCAGAGAGGUGGGCUCCUGCGCCUCGGAGCAGGGCGCUGCCGUGCUCCGGGUGCCCCCGUAGCACCCUGAGCCUCCGCGGUGCGGCGYGGAGCUCCGUGCCCCUCUCGCUGCCGGCAUCGCCCCCGGUGCGGCGGCGACGUACCGGGGUGCACCGGAGCCUCGCUGUGCCCUUCCCCACCGGCCCGGCUCCACUUUGGCCCCUUUCUCUGCUGCACGCUCCGCUUUGGUGGGUCCCUGUGCAGGGCUGGGAAAGCGGCCCAGUGCCGCCAGGAGGAGGAGGAGGAGGAGGAGGAGGGGUUGGGAGAGGCCAGGCCGGAGCUUUGCCAGAUGUGGGAAAGGAGAGAAGGGGGAUGUUUUUGCCGCUUUCCCCCGCAAACCCUUGCGAACAACAGGGCUGCUGUCCCGGGGAAUCCUUCCUCUCCCCGCGCCGCUGCGGGCGGACGGACCCACCCGACACGCGCGCGUUGUGGCGUACGGCGCUGGCGGCGAGGGUCAGCGGAGGCUCGUCCGCGCCGACCCGGGAUGCCCCGCGCGUGGCUGCGCUCGCAGGCAAGCGCGCCUUUGCGCGAGCAUCUCCGCGAGCCCCCGCGUGCGGCGUUGCGCGCCGUUGCCCGCUCUCGCCCGCGCCGCCGGGCUCCUCUGGUCCCGCCGGGCGCGGGGGGACGCGCGCCGGGGUGGGUGGAGAGUCGGGUCCCGGCGGCGGCGGCGGCGCUCCGCAGCCCCCUUCGCUGCUCUCGCCUCCCUCCACCCCCCGCAUUGUUCCCGGCUUCCCGGCCCCGGCAGGCAGGAGGAGGAGGAGGAGGAGCAGGGCCAAGGGCCAGCGUGCGGUAGGCGCCCGUGCCGCCAAGGCAGGAGGAAGGCAGGCGGGAAGGCAGGCGCUGGGAGCGUGCCGCGGGCUGCAGCCGCCGCCUGUCAUGUUGGUCGAGCUGCUCUUCCAGGCUGCCUGUGUGUCCCUGUUCCUCCCAGGCGGCCAGGGCAGGGUUUACCCGGGGAGGAAGAAGCCGGCCAGCUUUGCUGCGGAGAGGUAG